CCUAAAGAGACACGAUUCUCAUUCACUCAUCUUGUUCAAGAUUUACUUUUUCUUUCUUGUUGUUUCGAAGAAUAGUGUAUUCUUAUUGUUUUGGAGUUUUCUAAAUUAGAGUUUUCUCUAUUUAUCUGUUCUUGUAAGUUUUGUUUGCAUCCUUCUAAUUAUUUUCUUAUUUUUGGAUUUUAUUUCAGGUUACCGACAGAUCCAUCUUCAUGUUACAAGCAAAUGUACGAGCUAUGGUUAAAGAUGGAGCAAGGACUAAAUCGUAGGCAAGGAAUGACAUGAGGAUGAAGCUAUAAUAUUUUUGAAUCGUAGUACAUGAAAGGUAUUGUUUCAUGUAAAACACAUACGAGAAGCAAAUAGAGAUGUUCAGUGAAAUGGUUUAUGAAAAACUGAGAUAUUCAAUCACAAUUUCAACUCUAAAAAAUUUGAUCAACAAUAAUACUGGAACAUGAAUUUCAUAGGCAUUCUGGAAUUGAAGGAAAUGGUCUGUUGUGUCUCAACGAGUAGUCGAAGUACUUGUAGCAGCAAGAGAAACAGAGAUAUGAUCACUCCAUCUUGCGUCCCCCGAUCUUUCCAAUCUUAAAAGGAGGAUUAGAGAUUGUCCGCGUUCUUUCCAAUUUUAAGUCAUUGAGGCAAGAUGAGGCGACAAGGAAGAAAUAUGUUGAACAUAUUAAGAAUGAGAUACAAUCAUGCUAUGCCUAUAAUGAGUUUCUAAUCGGUACUUUAGUGG